rnacentral:rRNA from 1 species
UACAGAGGCCUCGAGCGUUGUUCGGAAUUACUGGGCGUAAAGCGAAUGUAGGUGGUGGUGUAAGUCAGAUGUGAAAGCCCGGGGCUUAACCCCGGAAAUGCAUUUGAUACUGCAUUGCUAGAGUGUGAGAGAGGAAAGGGGAAUUCCCAGUGUAGGAGUGAAAUCCGUAGAUAUUGGGAGGAAUACCGAUGGCGAAGGCACCUUUCUGGCUCAUUACUGACACUGAGAUUCAAAAGCGUGGGGAG